rnacentral:lncRNA from 1 species
UUUUUUUUUUUUUUUUUUAAUGGAGAUUUUUAAGAACCAACCUUGUAAUAUGCAUUGCCUCGAACAUAAGAAUGUUGUUUAGGAAUUUGUUCCUGAUGGUGCGGCAUCCUUUUUUGUAAAAACCCUCAGGAGAAAUAUCUCUAUAGUCUAAGAAAUAAACCUAUUGCUUGCUGAGAAAAACAUGUUUGCUAAGCCCUUAUAGCCUUAGAAUUUAUAUAAAUGGAUGCUGGGAAGCUCGUACUAGGAGUCUGUUUUUGCAUUAGUUUCCUUUCGGAUUUUAAUUUAUGUCCUGACCCAUAGUUUAACUUUUUUCUUUCUCAUUUGCUUCUAAUUUACGUUAUCUUGAUGUAUGGUGUGGAUCCUUGAAGUCAUCUUAAAUCAUUUCUGGAGGAAUGCAGACAUAAAAUAAAAUAUCCUCAACACUGAUAACCCAGAACGCACAAACUGUGGAGUGAUUUAUGGUAAUACACUUGAAAAAAUUAGAAUGAUUAAAUUCACACAAACUAUUAAUUAGUUUUUAAUAUGAGAUGAGCUAUCUGAGGUAACAGGUCCAGUGAAUCAGCCAGGUUUCAAAACUGUUGUAUGUUUCUACAUCAGGAAGCCAUCAGAGGCAACACCUAGGACAGAAGUAAGUCAUUACAGAAUAAACUCAUGGAGAACAUCCAGGACCUAGUGACAAUCCAUCAUAGUUUGUCUCCCACUGAUCUGGAAUUUUAACAUCAGUCUGGGACUCUCUUAUAAAGCAUAAUGGCAUUCAGUAAUAAAAGCAAGGUAAUGUAAAAUUAUUUUCAUCAAUAUGGUCUGGCUACGGAGCUAUCUUUGCUAAUAGAAUUGAGUGGACUUGGGAAGCCCUGUUAACUGCUGAUCUGACCACCCAUUUCUUUUUCUUUCCAAUGCCUAAAGAAAGGAUCAAGGUGACCUUUCUGAAGGAUCUCUAUAUCCAUGGCAGAACAAAUGCUGUCUAUAUUUCCUGUCAAUUUUUUGACAUCCCUCCCUGCUUUUUCAAUUUUCCUCUGUAAAUUUUUCUCCUCUUUGCUGUCUACCACCAUCUUUGAAUUAUUUAGAUUCAUAGAUCCAGGAGAAGGAACUGUUCCUGGCUUCUAGCUUUAUUGCCACCUACCCAUGGCCAACUGCACAGUAAGCUGAGGACUCCUCACAGCUAAUCCUAUAUUUUGCCUCUGAUUAAAGAAAAAAAUCCUGUCACCCAUUCAGUGUAGCUAUGUCCAAAUUUGAGACCCUCAUUCCCCAUGAUAAACACUUCCCUUUCUUUUCCUAGUUUUGAUUGGAGAUAACGGUGGGGCAUGGGGAGGGACAGUCUAGCUAAUAUGUUCCUGUGUCGUCUUCAGUUGAAGCAACUCAGAUUAUGAGUGUGAUUUCAUGAGAGGAAAAGAGAAAGUGGCCUCCUGGGAUAGAUUUUUGAAAACCACUAAGCUAUGUACACAAUGCCAUGGAAAGAAUCAAUAUGUUACCAAUUCACAGAUUCAUAAAGUUUCAUGAAUGAGGGGUGCCUUAGAGACGAUAUAAUGUCCUUUUACAGAUGAAAAUAUAGGCUCUAAAAAGUAUGACUUCUCCCCCCAAGGACCCCCCUCAAAAUGGCAAUUUGUUGGAAACCGAAGAAUACGAGGUACGUGGGGAAAAGUCUAAACUCUUCAGCAGUGAAUUCAAGGUAUGGAUAAUCUAUGCUCCUAUAUCUCUCAAGCCUCACUUCUCAUCAUCUCCACACAUACAGCCUACAUACCAGUUUCACAGAAAGCAACAUGCAUGCUCAGAAACCUGAGCCUUUGCUGAUUCUGUUCCUUCAGCCAGGAAAAAUCCCACCCCACCCCCCUUAUUUCUGCCUAUUAAAAUCUGGCUUCUGAUUCCAAUAAAAUGCCCUAUUUUCUGUGAACACGUUUCCUGUUCCUCAAUAAAAUUAUUCUGAUUAGGGGAACUUCCAAAAUUGAGAGGUAUUUUACAAAAUAGUUGACUAGGGCCUUUAAAAGAAUCAAGUUCAUGAAAGAAAAGGAAAGCAUAAGGAUCUGCCACAGAUUAUAGGAGACUCAGGGGACAAAAUAACUAAAAGCAAUAUGUGAUCCUGGAUUCAUUCCUGUUCCAGAAAAAGACCAUUAGGGUGAAAACUGGUUAAAUCCUAAAAGUCUGCAGUUUAAUUAAUAAUAUUGUACUAGCCUUGAUGUCCUGGUUUUUUAGACAUGCUCUGUGGUGAUGCGCUAUUAACAUGAGAGGAAGUCGGGCAAAGGGAACAGGGAAAUUGUAUUCUUUUGCAGCUUUUUUGUGAGUCUAAAAUUUUUAUAACUAAUUUUAUUUAUAAAUUUUCCUUUUAAAUUUAUAAUUUUCUUUUUUAAUUAAACAAUUUCUUUUUCUUUUUAGGGCCGCACCCACAGCAUAUGGAGUCUCCCAAAAGGGGUCCAAUUGGAGCCACAGCUGCCAGCCUGCACCACAUCCGAGCUGCGUCUGUGACCGACAUCACAACUCACGGCAAUGCCAGAUCCUUAACCCAAUGAGCAAGGCCAGAGAUCAAACCUACAUCCUCAUGGGUUCUAGGCAGGUUCGUUAACCAGGGAGCCACGAUGUGAAAUCCGAUUUAAACAAUUUUUUCAGAAAAAGAAAAAGGCACAUCCC